rnacentral:rRNA from 1 species
UACGAAGGGUGCAAGCGUUACUCGGAAUUACUGGGCGUAAAGCGUGCGUAGGCGGUUUGUUAAGUCUGUCGUGAAAGCCCCGGGCUCAACCUGGGAAUGGCGAUGGAUACUGGCGAGCUAGAGUACGGUAGAGGAGAGUGGAAUUCCCGGUGUAGCAGUGAAAUGCGUAGAGAUCGGGAGGAACACCAGUGGCGAAGGCGACUACCUGGCCUGUUCUUGACGCUGAGGCGCGAAAGCUAGGGGAGCAAACGGG